rnacentral:rRNA from 1 species
UUGCAAAACUCCCAAACCAUUGUGAACGUUACCAUUAUCGUUGCUUCGGCGGGCGGCGCCCAGCGCUCCCAGGCCCCCUCGCGGGGCGCCCGCCGGAGGUUACCUAACUCUUGACAACUGUAUGGCCUCUCUGAGUCUCUAUACUUAAUAAGUUAAAACUUUCAACAACGGAUCUCUUGGUUCUGGCAUCGAUGAAGAACGCAGCGAAAUGCGAUAAGUAAUGUGAAUUGCAGAAUUCAGUGAAUCAUCGAAUCUUUGAACGCACAUUGCGCCCGCCAGUAUUCUGGCGGGCAUGCCUGUUCGAGCGUCAUUUCAACCAUCAAGCCCCAGGCUUGUGUUGGGGACCUGCGGCUGCCGCAGGCCCUGAAAACCAGUGGCGGGCUCGCUAGUCACACCGAGCGUAGUAGCAUACACAUCGCUCAGGGCGUGCUGCGGGUUCCGGCCGUUAAACCCCUUUUUUACCCAAGGUUGACCUCGGAUCAGGUAGGAAGACCCGCUGAACUUAAGCAUAUCAAUAAGCGGAAGAA